GACACCCCCCAGUGGCAGCCUUACUGCCUCUUUGGGAAGUGGUGGGUCCCAGAGGUUAGGCCAUGUGAUCAAGCUGCGGAUUGAGGUGAACAUGUGUAAUGGCCUCGCCACUGAGUAUCCACGCUGCUUCCCACUCUGUUGGCAAGUUCUGCAGAUGUCCUCCAGCACCCAACAGUCACCCACAGCCCCGUCUGCCUGGCUGCACACAGGCAGCUUCAGAUUGGUAGAAACGUGAGGCCAAGCAUCUCUCAAGCCAGUGAAUAGCUUUCCAGGGACCAGUGGAAUUCAUAAGCAUCUCGGGAAGCACCGCGAUUCCUGAUUGGUCCUCUCAGUCCUGUGCCGCACCCACUGGCUGUGACGUCAUCCACAGCUCAUUGUUUUGAGGCCAUGCUGGCCAAUCAGCUGGGAGGAAUCUCAGCAUUUCCUCAGUGACUAGGGUGGCAUGUGCUGUGCGUAGAGAACCGACGUCAGAGACAACUUCAUAUGGCAAUUCACUUCCCCUCCUCUUUAUCGCAUACACUGAACAGCAGAAAUAAUGAAAAGCUUCAUAUCCAGUAGAGAACAGUCAAACAUCACGUAAAAACGUAGCAAUACCACUCAACUGCGGGCGGCUUUCUGUCACUUUCAGCUCUUGGGCUGCUUCUAACGGGGCUGGACGGCAUCCGCCAUCCGCCGUGCUCGCUCCUUCCCGGCCCAAGCUCGGCCCCUUCCUGUGAUGAAGGUGAGCCAGGUGUGGACGCGCUCCCUAGGCCGUGCCGGGCUGCGGAAGGCGGGAACCUGCACCCCUGGAACCUGUGCUGCAGUCUUGCUGGCCAUGCAUUCUGGCUCGUGCUCCAGCGCCACGGACCUGAUUCUCUCCAUUGUUACUCCCUUCCCAGAACAACAGGGUAUAUUUUACAUCCUGGCAAUAACCCUUUCUUGUGUCAAAUGCAUAUUCAGUAAGGCUAAGAUUAUGAAUUAGUUCUUCCCAUGUAAAAUCACACAAUCCAUUUAAAUUCUUUAGAGAUAACACUUUAUUGUAUUAUAAAAAGCGACAGAUUGAUGAUAAUACAUUAUUUUUUCUUAACAAA
rnacentral:lncRNA from 1 species